AGGAAGCUUAGUCCUAUUCAGGUACGCAUUAUUUUUCCCUUCAUUUUUCUUGGUUUCGUUAUUUUAUUAGAGAGAUUCCAGUAUCAUUGAUUUUUCUUGGGUACCAUGAAAGCAUAGCAAAAGUAGCUUGAAAAGCUUGAAAUUUGGGGUUGAUUAGAAAUAAUUAUGAAGGGCCAUGGCCAUGUGAGAACUGAGAAGGCAAUAAGGCCACUCCAUCCAUGGCGGUUUCUCUGGCAUGAAAACUGGAACUGGUUGGCCUUUCCCAUAACCCUCCAUCUCAUGGAAAGGCACUGCACUUUGAUGGAUUUUAUAAUUAUUUUAUUUAAAAUAAAGUAAGAUUCUUUUAUUUUGUUUUAUAAAAUUUUAAUAUUAUAAACGUUUAAUAUUAAUUUUUU
rnacentral:misc_RNA from 1 species